AUGGCUACAAGUUGUACCGUAACCACGGUGAUUGAUAUGAGGAUUAUCUUCUGAAUAUAAUAAGUAAUAUGAUAGGCCUACCAUAAAUUAUUUCAAAGAAGUAAUUUAUUUAAAACACAUAAUAAUGAAGUUUGAUGUUGAAUCUAACCACACAUAAAUAUGCUCAUUUUUUUCCCUUUAGUCUUUGCUACUAACAUUCAUCAACCGCAAAAUUAGAAAAUUGCGUUUUUAAAUAACGAUGCAUGGAAAAUAAAAU